GAAAUGCGAUAAGUAAUGUGAAUUGCAGAAUUCAGUGAAUCAUCGAAUCUUUGAACGCACAUUGCGCCCGCCAGCACUCUGGCGGGCAUGCCUGUUCGAGCGUCAUUUCAACCCUCAGAACCCCUUGCGGGAUCUGGCGUUGGGGAUUGGCAUCCAGCCAGCCCCGAAAUCUAGCGGCGGUCCCUCCGCGACCUCCCCUGUGCAGUAGCGAUACCUCGCAGCGGGACAGCGGUCUGACCACGCCGUAAAACCCCCAACUUCUCAAGGUUGACCUCGAAUCAGGUAGGAAUGCCCGCUGAACUUAAGC
rnacentral:misc_RNA from 1 species